AGGGCUUUAGCUCAGUGGUAGAGUGCUUUGAAUGCAGAAGACCCCAGGUUCAAUCCCUGAAAUCUCUA